CAUCACUAUUAUUAUUCACCCAACGUCACACAACAGGCAAGGGGCAGAGCCCCGAUUGGAACCCAGAUCCUGUGACUUCCAAGCAAGUGCUCUUUCCACUAAGCCACGCGAGUUCUCAGUCCCGCCCAGAAGGCUCCCGUCCCCUCCCUCCAGGAGAGAGGACUUCGAUCCUCACCCGGCCAGGUGCGGGGAAUACCUGGAUCCAGUCAUCUCCGGGCAGGAUCCCCUCCGGCUGCUUCUCCAGUUCCCCACCAAGGAGCAGGACGCCCAGCUCAGGUCAGCGCCCGGGAGGUGGCGAGCGAACCGAUGUCACUCGGAAUUCACUAGCCGUUCCCCCGGUCCAGCCCCGGCCGUGUCCGCAGCCGGUUCCUCCUCACCCACAGGCCCCGCUCCUGUUCUCGGAGUCACAAGCGAGGAGGAUCCGACGAGCCCUGCUCCUUGUCCUGGACGGAGGAUGCGGGACCAAAGGAUACUGAGCCACUGGUCGGUCCAUCUCAUCUGCCUCUGGACCGGCUUCCAUCAGGUUGCUGCUAAUUACCCCUUCUGGAGGUAUGGCACCUUGUGGGUUCUUGGGGAGGAGAGGGUAUUGAGAGCUUGAUGGGUCAUCCUGGUCAUUCCUCUGCCUCUGAGCUGGAUGGCCCCUAUCCCAUCUCAGUCAAUCCAGAAGCUUUGCUGCCUAGUGGAUAGAGAACAGGCAUAGGUGUCAAAAGGACCUGGUCUUAAUCCCAGUUUCUCUACUUGACUGUUGUUUGUCCUUGGGAAAGUCACUUAACUUCUCUGUGCCUCAGUUACCUCAUCUGUAAAAUGGGGAUUAAGGCUUUAAGCCUCAUAUGGGAUAUGGACUGUGUCCAUCUUGAUUACCUUGCAUCUACCCCACCACUUAGAACAGUGCCCGGCACAUAGUAAGCGCUUAACAAAUACCGUAAAAAACAAUCCAUGAGUAGGAUUUAUUGAGUGCCUGCUAGACAGGAUGCCUACCCUCAAGGAGUCUAGAAGAAGAGGCAAACACUGUAAUAAAUUGCAAAAAAGAGGAAUUUCAAUCACAUUGACUCUACCACUGUAGGGAAGACCUAAUCUCCCUCGGUCAUCAGUAAAGAAGCAGUGUGGUUUAGUGGAUAGAGCACGGGUCUGGGAGUCAGCAGGACCUGGGUUCUAAUCCAGGCUCCACCACAUGUCUGCUGUGUGACCUUAGGCAAGUCAUUUAACUUCUCUGGGUCUCAGUUACUUCAUCUGUAAAAUGGGAAUUAGGAGUGUGACUCCCC
rnacentral:lncRNA from 1 species